rnacentral:lncRNA from 1 species
GUAAUUUGUAGCAACAAACCUGGGGUCAGACACUCCACUGCCUGUGCAUCUUGCCUGUUUCCGGAUCCGCCGUGUCACAGACAUUUUCUAUGUCAGUGCCUAUGGCUCUACCCAGGUAAAAAAUUAACCACCUUGGCAAGCGCUGCCCAUGUCGCUCCUGCUUGCCGGGGCUGGCUUUCUUUCAGAGCAACCCCGUUCUAGCUGGCCUGCUGCCUAGGCCCUGGCUUUCUUUCCCACAAAAUAGCUUCUGAAAAAAACUGUGGGAAACAAAUGGCUUCAGAGGUUUUUAGAAACAGAAGUGCAAACUCUAACAAAUUUCAUCUGGCCCAAAAAUGUUAUUACCCAAAAUCUUGAAAAUAUUUUCUUAUAGGAUUAUUCCCCCAAGGUUGUUAAUCUGAGAACGAUCCAGGCCUAAUAGGCCUGACUUUUUGCCCCCUGAUGUUGGAGUCUUGAGUAGUUGAGUGCCGGAGUAUGGGGGGUUGGGGUAAAAAUAUUCCUCUGGAGGAAAUGAAGUCAUUUUAUUUAACAUUAUAGCUACCACUGGGACUCUAUCAUUUUAGAAAGGGAAUGCCAGUUCACACAGCCAAAUGAAGCUUUUAAAUUAGUCCAAGAAACCUUUUAAAAGGUAGCACUAGGUUUUCAGUUCCACAAACAUUUAUUGAGUCUAUCUGUCCUAAAGAUUUUUGCCAUAGUUAAAUUUUACCUAACGAACAUUGCCUUUCUAGAUAAAUGUUAUUGUAACAUUAUCUGCUUCUCUCUUUCAGUGGUUGGCAUUUUACUUUCGGUGCUACAGAGUGGCAGCAAGCUACACUGUUUCUGUGCUGAGGUUGUUGUCUGAGAGAGAUUUAUCUGGCCCUGUGAGCCCCGCACAGCAGGGAGACAAACCUUGAUUUGUUCAGUGGAGGAAAGAAUGUGGCCUUGUACACCUGCCUCCCUGGAUACACCUGUAGGGCUGGUUUCCCUGCUGAAACCUCCCUGUGGAGCUCUUGACACUGGUGCAAUUGGCUCAGCCCUGGCAACAGUGUCAACAGAAACUGGGCUCGGAGGGACCCAGGUUUCCGUGUCCUUCUCUUGCUGGUUAAAUCCCAAGUAUGUGUGUAAUCGCUCUCAGGCUGGGGAGGUGAAGUUGAAACCUGGCUUAUCACUGGGCCUAGAUUCUCCUGUAGCAUAUUUUAGAUAAGAGUGGAAAAAAUGCCAGGCCCAGCAUUAGCUGCCCUGAGACUGAGGAGCUUUGUUUUUCCUCAUGAAGGCCUUUGGUUUCGUCUGGAAAUCUGCCUGUGAAUAGGCCAGAAGGUAUAAAGGCAGCUGUCCUUACUUAUCUAGUUUUAAUUUUUCAGCAAGUGAUUUGGAAGCAAGAAUGAAGAUUUGAUCAGAACCUUUGCUCACUUGCAAUGAGUAGAGUCUUGUUGCUUGUUUUCGUUUGGCAUUGCCCUCCCUUUGAGAACACCAUAGGCAGCUGCUCUCUGUUGGAAUUCCAAUUCUGUGACCUUGGGCAAAUUACUUAACCUUUCCCUGAGCCUCAGUUGUCUCAUCUGUAAAAGGGGGAUAAUAAUAGUACUUGACUCAUAGGUUGUAUUAGGGAUUGCAGAGUUAGUAUUUGUAGUCCUUAGAACAGUAUCUGCACAUGGUAAGUGUUAUGAAAGUGUUUGUCAAGACAAACAACAGGAAAUACUUUGUACAGUUAAUUAUAUGAAGUGCCAGUGAUAUUUAUGUGGCUUUUUGUUGUUGUUUGUUUGUUUUUGAGAUGAAGUCUCGCUCUGUCGCCGAGGCUGGAGUGCAGUGGCAUGAUCUUGGCUCACUGCAAGCUCCACCUCCUGGGUUCACGCCAUUCUCCUGCCUCAGCCUCCCGAGUAGCUGGGACUACAGGCGCCCGCCACCACGCUUGGCUAAUUUUUUGUAUCUUUAGUAGAGAUGGGGUUUUACUGUUUUAGCCAGGAUGAUCUUGAUCUCCUGAUCUCGUGAUCCACCCGCCUCGGCCUCCCAAAGUGUUGGGAUUACAGGCGCGAGCCACCGUGCCCGGCCUUAUGUGGUCUUUCUGGUUGGUAAAUAUUCUAACACACACAAAUUAAUCAUUAGAUCAAAAGAAUUGUGUUUUGGUACGUAGUUAAGGUGCUCUUUUCUUUUAAAUAUACACUCCUUGCUGUUCUUCCUGUUCCCUUUGCAGAGCAAAAGUAUCGGAAAAAAACAAGUGCAAGCACUUCCUUCUAAUAUUGGUUUAGUUGUGGUCAAAAACAGGAAUUAUGAGUCAUGAACACCAAAUUGACAGGAAUGAGCCAAGGCAAAAUUACAUCCUAAGGAUGGGGGUCAUCUUUGACAAACAGACACACAGAUUCAUCAGGCAUUAAAACAGCAUUCUUAACCUUGGAAUCCACGGGUCCCCAAAAAGUCUGUCAGAGAAAUAGGGGAUCUGCAAAUUUGGGUGGGCUAAGAGUUAUCUAUCUACACUUUCACUAACCCCUAACUGAAUUUGAGCAUUUCCUUGAAUUAUGAAUGUAGGCAACAAACCACAGUGACAGAAGCAAUACUUAUGACUUUGUCGUCAGUAGGAAUCUCAGAUAUUUUAAUAUCACAUUGCAAUCUCAUUUACUCUUAUCACUACAGUAGCUAAUAGAUUCACCAUUAUUUAUUUAUUGUUCUUCAGUGCCUUAAGAAAAAGCAUGAUUAUUUAAGAAUAUUUUGCUCACUACAGUUCAGUAUAAUUAGGUUCCUUUGGACUCUUACAUAUUUUAUUCAUUUAUAAACAUUAUUCUGAGGUAAUAAUAGUCAUCACCAGACUGCCAAAGAAC